UACGAGGGGGGCAAGCGUUGUUCGGAAUUAUUGGGCGUAAAGGGUGCGUAGGCGGUUUGACAAGUCUAAUGUGAAAUCUAUGGGCUCAACCUGGGAAUGGCAGUGGAUACUGGCAAGCUAGAGUGCGGUAGAGGGUAGUGGAAUUCCCGGUGUAGCAGUGAAAUGCGCAGAUAUCAGGAGGAACACCGGUGGCGAAGGCGGAUCUCUGGGCCUUACCUGACGCUGAGGCGCGAAAGCUAGGGGAGCGAACAGG
rnacentral:rRNA from 1 species